rnacentral:rRNA from 1 species
AGUAACGCGUGGGUAACCUGCCUCAUACAGGGGGAUAACAGUUAGAAAUGACUGCUAAUACCGCAUAAGCGCACAGAAUCGCAUGAUUCGGUGUAGAAAACUCCGGUGGUAUGAGAUGGACCCGCGUCUGAUUAGCUAGUUGGUGGGGUAAAGGCCUACCAAGGCGACGAUCAGUAGCCGACCUGAGAGGGUGAUCGGCCACAUUGGGACUGAGACACGGCCCAAACUCCUACGGAAGGCAGCAG